UUAAAUCUUCGAGGCGGGGUGAAAUUCCCCACCGGCAGUAGAGUCUGCAAACCACAAAAGGUGGCUGAUACGGUGUGAUUCCGUAACCGACGGUAUAGUCCGGAUGAUAGAGGAUAGAA
rnacentral:ncRNA from 2 species